GUGACUCAGGGGAGAGGUGACACUGCCAGGUUUUGGACUGACAACUGGACACCAGAAGGGCGUAGCAUUGCCUCGUUGGCACCAGCCUUGUAUUCAUUUGUGAAAGAUUCCAAACUGUCGGUCCGUGAUGCGCUGAACAAUCGAAGAUGGCUUAAGGACAUCCAAGGUGGCUUGACAGUCCAAGCCUUGGUGCAGUACUUAUGGGUCUGGGACAUGGCACGGGCUACUGUACUCGAUUCGGAGGCUCAGGAUUGACUUGAGUGGAGGAUGACAGAACACCACCAAUUC
rnacentral:rRNA from 1 species